rnacentral:rRNA from 1 species
GCCUAAUACAUGCAAGUCGAGCGGACAGAUGGGAGCUUGCUCCCUGAUGUUAGCGGCGGACGGGUGAGUAACACGUGGGUAACCUGCCUGUAAGACUGGGAUAACUCCGGGAAACCGGGGCUAAUACCGGAUGGUUGUUUGAACCGCAUGGUUCAAACAUAAAAGGUGGCUUCGGCUACCACUUACAGAUGGACCCGCGGCGCAUUAGCUAGUUGGUGAGGUAAUGGCUCACCAAGGCAACGAUGCGUAGCCGACCUGAGAGGGUGAUCGGCCACACUGGGACUGAGACACGGCCCAGACUCCUACGGGAGGCAGCAGUAGGGAAUCUUCCGCAAUGGACGAAAGUCUGACGGAGCAACGCCGCGUGAGUGAUGAAGGUUUUCGGAUCGUAAAGCUCUGUUGUUAGGGAAGAACAAGUACCGUUCGAAUAGGGCGGUACCUUGACGGUACCUAACCAGAAAGCCACGGCUAACUACGUGCCAGCAGCCGCGGUAAUACGUAGGUGGCAAGCGUUGUCCGGAAUUAUUGGGCGUAAAGGGCUCGCAGGCGGUUUCUUAAGUCUGAUGUGAAAGCCCCCGGCUCAACCGGGGAGGGUCAUUGGAAACUGGGGAACUUGAGUGCAGAAGAGGAGAGUGGAAUUCCACGUGUAGCGGUGAAAUGCGUAGAGAUGUGGAGGAACACCAGUGGCGAAGGCGACUCUCUGGUCUGUAACUGACGCUGAGGAGCGAAAGCGUGGGGAGCGAACAGGAUUAGAUACCCUGGUAGUCCACGCCGUAAACGAUGAGUGCUAAGUGUUAGGGGGUUUCCGCCCCUUAGUGCUGCAGCUAACGCAUUAAGCACUCCGCCUGGGGAGUACGGUCGCAAGACUGAAACUCAAAGGAAUUGACGGGGGCCCGCACAAGCGGUGGAGCAUGUGGGUUUAAUUCGAAGCACGCGAGA